rnacentral:rRNA from 1 species
GACGGAGGAUGCAAGUGUUAUCCGGAAUCACUGGGCGUAAAGCGUCUGUAGGUGGUUCAAUAAGUCAACUGUUAAAUCUUGAGGCUCAACUUCAAAAUCGCAGUCGAAACUAUUGGACUCGAGUAUAGUAGGGGUAAAGGGAAUUUCCAGUGGAGCGGUGAAAUGCGUAGAGAUUGGAAAGAACACCAAUGGCGAAAGCACUUACUGGGCUAUUACUGACACUGAGAGACGAAAGCUAGGGUAGCAAUGGG